rnacentral:rRNA from 1 species
GCAAGUCGAACGGCAGCACAGUAAGAGCUUGCUCUUAUGGGUGGCGAGUGGCGGACGGGUGAGGAAUACAUCGGAAUCUACUCUGUCGUGGGGGAUAACGUAGGGAAACUUACGCUAAUACCGCAUACGACCUACGGGUGAAAGCAGGGGAUCUUCGGACCUUGCGCGAUUGAAUGAGCCGAUGUCGGAUUAGCUAGUUGGCGGGGUAAAGGCCCACCAAGGCGACGAUCCGUAGCUGGUCUGAGAGGAUGAUCAGCCACACUGGAACUGAGACACGGUCCAGACUCCUACGGGAGGCAGCAGUGGGGAAUAUUGGACAAUGGGCGCAAGCCUGAUCCAGCCAUACCGCGUGGGUGAAGAAGGCCUUCGGGUUGUAAAGCCCUUUUGUUGGGAAAGAAAUCCAGCCGGCUAAUACCUGGUUGGGAUGACGGUACCCAAAGAAUAAGCACCGGCUAACUUCGUGCCAGCAGCCGCGGUAAUACGAAGGGUGCAAGCGUUACUCGGAAUUACUGGGCGUAAAGCGUGCGUAGGUGGUCGUUUAAGUCCGUUGUGAAAGCCCUGGGCUCAACCUGGGAACUGCAGUGGAUACUGGACGACUAGAGUGUGGUAGAGGGUAGCGGAAUUCCUGGUGUAGCAGUGAAAUGCGUAGAGAUCA